rnacentral:misc_RNA from 1 species
GAAAUGCGAUACGUAGUGUGAAUUGCAGAAUUCAGUGAAUCAUCGAAUCUUUGAACGCACAUUGCGCCCUUUGGUAUUCCAAAGGGCAUGUCUGUUCGAGCGUCAUUUGUACCCUCAAGCUUUGCUUGGUGUUGGGCGUUUUUUGUCUUUGGCUCGCCCAAAGACUCGCCUUAAAACGAUUGGCAGCCGGCCUACUGGUUUCGCAGCGCAGCACAUUUUUGCGCUUGCAAUCAGCAAAAGAGGACGGCAAUCCAUCAAGACUCCUUCUCACGUUUGACCUCGGAUCAGGUAGGGAUACCCGCUGAACUUAAGC